rnacentral:rRNA from 1 species
CGGAUUGAACGCUGGCGGCAUGCCUUACACAUGCAAGUCGAACGGUAGAGUAGCAAUACUUGAGAGUGGCGGACGGGUGAGUAAUAUAUCGGAACGUGCCCAGUCGUGGGGGAUAACGUAGAGAAAUUUACGCUAAUACCGCAUACGAUCUAAGGAUGAAAGCGGGGACCGUAAGGCCUCGCGCGAGUUGGAGCGGCUGAUAUCAGAUUAGGUUGUUGGUGAGGUAAAAGCUCACCAAG